AUUGAACGCUGGAGGCAGGCCUAACACAAGCAAGUCGAACGAGUGGCGGACGGGUGAGUAAUGUCUGGGAAACUGCCUGAUGGAGGGGGAUAACUACUGGAAACGGUAGCUAAUACCGCAUACCAUCAGAAGUGCCAAGAUGGGAUUAGAUAGUUGGUGGGGUAACGGCUCACCAAGGCGACGAUCCCUAGCUGGUCUGAGAGGACGACCAGCCACACUGUAACUGAGACACGGUCCAGACUCCUACGGGGGGCAGCGGUGGGGAAUAUCGCACAAUGGGCGCAAGCCUGAUGCAGCCAUGCCGCGUGUAUGAAGAAGGCCUUCAGGUUGUAAAGUACUUUCAGCGGGGAGGCGUUACCCGCAGAAGAAGCACCGGCUAACUCCGUGCCAUCAGCCGCGGUAAUUC
rnacentral:rRNA from 1 species